UUUUCCAGUGCCUCGUCAACCACUCCUCCAAACUACUACCAAGAAAUAUACCAAUCCAGUUUUCCAGACCGGAUCUCUGCAAAUCCAAUCUCCGGACGUCAAACCCUUCUCUUUUCUUUUUCUCCUCCUUUCUUUCGAGAGAUCAAUUCCAGAGAUUCCGAUCUCUUGUCCGUUUCUUCUUUCCCUCUCGAAUGUCUAUUUCCAAUGCCCCGUCUCAUCUUGUUCUUCUCCUAUUCGUCCUCUUGAUUUCGGUUUUCGAAGCUUUCGCUGGGCCUUCGCGGUCUCUCCUCCGAACCCUCGGAGAUGGCCCCGAUCUCCCCGAUGCCGCCGUGGACCUCAACAGCUCCAAUUUCGAUCGCGUCCUUAAGGAGUCUCCGGCGGCCUUUGCGGUCGUCGAGUUCUUUGCUCACUGGUGUCCUGCCUGUAGAAAUUAUAAGUCACACUAUGAGAAGGUUGCGAGGCUUUUCAAUGGGCCAGAUGCACCACAUCCUGGGAUUGUUAUCAUGACAAGGGUUGACUGUGCAAUGAAGAUGAAUACGAAUCUUUGUGAUAGGUUUUCAGUUGGCCAUUUUCCCAUGCUAUUAUGGGGUCCACCACCUAAAUUUGCAUCCAGUCGAUGGGAUCCUAAGCAAGAGAAAAGUGAGAUUCAAUCAAUUGAUGAUGGAAGGACAGCAGAUCGUUUGCUCAAAUGGAUAAAUAAGCAAAUUGGCAGCUCAUUCAAUUUAGAUGAUGAAAAAUAUGAGAAUGAAAAUACACUUCCACGGAAUGACUCUGAUCCUGAACAGAUUGCUCGAGCUAUUUAUGAUGUUGAGGAAGCAACAGCUGGUGCAUUUGACAUAAUAUUGGAACACAAGAUGAUCAAGUCAGAUACUCGAGUCCCGCUUAUAAAGUUCUUCCAGCUUUUGGUCACUCACCAUCCCUCUAAAAGGUGUCGAAGGGGAAGUGCUGAGAUACUUGUAAACUUUGAUGAUCUGUGGCCUUCAGACCUUUUUUCAGUCGGUUCUCAAGAGACCAAUGUAUUGCAGGAAAGGGGCAGAUUAAAAGGUUACUUGAUCUGUGGGAAGGAAGUCCCUCGUGGGUAUUGGAUUUUUUGUCGUGGCAGCAAAAAUGAUACCAGGGGCUUUAGCUGUGGCCUUUGGGUUCUAUUACAUUCUCUUUCUGUGAGAGUUGCUGAUGGAGAGAGCCAUUUGGCUUUCACUGCAAUCUGUGAUUUCAUCCAUAAUUUCUUCAUCUGUGAGGAAUGUCGCAGACAUUUUUAUGACAUGUGCUCAAGUGCUUCAGUCCCAUUUAAUACAACACGUGAUCUAAGCCUUUGGCUAUGGAGCACGCAUAACAAAGUCAAUGAAAGGCUGAGGAAAGAAGAGAAAGCCUUAAGAACUGGUGACCCAAGGUUCCCCAAGGUUAUAUGGCCCCCGGAGCAACUCUGCCCAUCAUGCUAUCUUUCUUCUAUCAGUAAAAGAAAUGGCACAGCUCAAGUAGAUUGGAAUGAGGAUGAAGUGUUCAACUUUUUGGUUCAGUAUUAUGGGAAAACUCUAGUGUCUUCUUACAAGGAUGCAAGCCUCGGCAGAAACAAAAGUGAUGAAUCUGUGGCAGAUGAUAUCAUCACCUCAACAAAUGCAGUUGCUGUACCUCUUGGAGCUGCCAUGGCCAUUGCCUUUGCCAGCUGCGCAUUUGGGGCGCUGGCUUGCUUUUGGCGGACACAGCAGAAGAAUCGGAAGUACUUACACCAACUACACUCUUUAAAGAACAUAUGAUUAGUAGGAGGGUAAUCAUCAGUAUUAUUGGCUUUGCUAGGAAGGCAUCAAUUAAUAGUAAUGCAAAGAAAGAAGAAUCGAGGCUGAGACUAGUUCAGUGUUAAUCAGGCACUAGCGCUACAAAGCUGCAUGGCAUUAUGGACGUUUUCAUGACCACCCUGUUGUGCUUUCUUUUAAUAAUUGUCUAAUUCUUCAUCAAGGUCAUUCCAUGUAUAUUAUUUAAUAUAAUCAUUAUUGAAAUUUUCAAAUGCAGCUGAGCGCAUAUACACUGCAAAAGAAAAAGGGCGUGCAGAUUAGGAAUUUAGAUUUUUUUUUCCCCUUUUUUUUUUGGCAUGUGUUAAGAUAUUUUGAUUGUUACGAGUCUGUAAACGGGGCAAGAACCCCGAUUAUUGAACCCAUUUUGAGCGUGGGAUCUGAAGAGGUCAUGUUUCUGUUUAGUCCAUUGUUGGGUUUAGUUGUUUCUCUCUACAUUGGUUGAUUCAAUAUUUAGAGUGUCGAUAUGGUUUUCGCUCUC